AUCGGCUCCAAACGAGGGAGCUCCUCAACCUACAGCACGGAUAUGGGUUUUUUGUCAGGCGUUAAAUGCCACAAGAUCACUUUGAUGUCAUUAAAAGCUUGUGAUAAAAAUGAAUGGACAUUUUUGUAAAAAAAAAAACAUUUUUUAAAUAUUCGUUAUUAAUUAAAUGUGAAUGUGGCGCCAGGGUGCGGUGAAUAAGAUAUAAUAUAAUAAAUUCAGCGCCGAAAAAUACGAGAUUCAUGUUAAGAUAAGAAUGACUGAGGUAAUAAACAAAAAUAAUUCUACGGUGCUAAAAACAGCAGCGCGUCAAAUAUAAGUUGACAUGGCGGGAAAAACUUUUACUUUUAAAAUUUAUAGGCAUGGGAAUUAGUAGCAUAAAUACCACCCCUAUCCACAUUGCAAAAUAUACUUGACAUAUCUGUAAUUAACUUACUCUAUCUCUGUUUAAAAAGAAAACAUUGCUUUCUCUAUUUUUUAAGUUUUAUAAAAUUGGUGCCGUUCAAGAAUAGAAUCGGUUAAAAAUAUAUGUUAUAUAUUAAAUUUUAUUAAAAUCGGCGACUUUAAAAUAUAAAUAUUGACUAUCAUAUUAUAAUAAUGGACUAAUCUCAGUAAUAUCUCUUUCGACUGAAAAUCCCAAUUUUUUUAUAGUUAUAAAACGUCAGAGCCCAAGCUCCGCUUGCCAAAUUUUUCUCGCACUUCACACAAAUCUCGAUAAAACGUAUACACAUCUUAUAAUCAGUCAAAUAAAUCAGUACAUACAUACAUAGUAGAAUAAAAAAUUAAAAAAAAAAAAACAAAA